UGUAACGCCAUCAUCUGCAGCAUGAUGCCAUCAAUUGAGCUGGUGACAACAUCCAUGACGUUGAACUCAUGGGACCCAAAUUUGAUACAUUAACUCAGUGUCCUGGUUGAUUCUAAGUGAGAUCUCCCCCGCCUCUGUCAGAGGGAGGGCCAUCUCUCUUGCCACGGUCCUCAACUGGGGAACCAAUCUCGUUGUAUCACUCACAUUUCUAAAUGUCAUUGAAAACACUGGGGUCUCAUGGACGUUUGUCAUGUUUAGCGUUGUUUGUGCUGUGUCUGUGAUUUUUAUAUAUUGUUUUUUUGCUGUCCCUGAAACCCAGAAAAAGUCCCUAAAACAAAUCUCCAAAGAGCUUAAUAACAGAUCCCUGAAGUCAGAAAUUUGUGCAUAUUGUAAACGGCUUCACUGCUGCAAUCCACUGACUGGUUCACCCAUGAAGCUGCCAAAUUUCCAUCACGUUCAGAGUACAUGUACUGACUCCUUCAAUGAAAUCUCUUAAUUAUUUAAAAAUUCUUUGGUAUUUAUUGAUGCACAAAUUUACAACUAUGUCAUAUCAAAGGUAAUUAUGUAUUACCGUAAUUUGUAUAUAGUACAUUUUAUUUUAUUUUUUUAUUUUACUUUUUUGUUGUUGUUGAGAUUAUUACUCCUUUAACUCAUAUGGCAUAAGCCACAAUUUAUAUAUGUUAAUAUAUGUUCCUAAUUUACUAAUUGACUCAAACAUUUCUGCUUAUUUAUUGUAUUUAUACAUUUUAAGCAUAUCAAAAUGUGUACUCGUACUUAAUUUGAUGACACAACUUUGUGAUAUUUCUCUUCUUUUUUACAUUGGUUUAUUUCUUAGUUCUGCUUUGUAGUACACUUUUACUGUACAAAAGCAGAGCAUAUUUUGAGAAAUUGUGAUGAAUUUACUAAUUAUAUGUCUCUUUAAUUUCACCAAUAUUGUUUAUACCUAUAUUGUGGAAUAAUGUUCAAUA